UACGUAGGGUGCAAGCGUUGUCCGGAAUCAUUGGGCGUAAAGAGCUCGUAGGCGGUCUGUCGCGUCGGUCGUGAAAACUUGGGGCUUAACCCUGAGCUUGCGGUCGAUACGGGCAUGACUGGAGUUCGGCAGGGGAGACUGGAAUUCCUGGUGUAGCGGUGAAAUGCGCAGAUAUCAGGAGGAACACCGGUGGCGAAGGCGGGUCUCUGGGCAGUAACUGACGCUGAGGAGCGAAAGCGUGGGGAGCGAACAGG
rnacentral:rRNA from 1 species